rnacentral:tRNA from 1 species
UUGUCCUAGCAGCCUAGAGCGCCACGUUUACACCGUGGAUGUCAUCGGUUCGAGCCCGGUAGGGCCCA